rnacentral:lncRNA from 1 species
ACCCAAUAUAUAAUCCAGAAUGUUGAAGACAGAAUACUGCUUUGUAUAAAACCAUAACGGCUCCACGCACACGCGUUACUGUGAGGAACACAGAGACAGAGAGUGAAAUCGAAUUCAAAGGUCUAGGUAUGAAUAUACACACAUGAGUUUAAAGCUUGGGCCAUCUGAGUAUCAAGCUUGGCCAUAUUAUCAGAGCGAGUAUCGUAUGGUCAGUUGCCUGCUCAUCUGGUCUAAAGCUUGGCCUUCUUUAGCAUCACUCUCUUUCCACGCAUUCCAUGGCUUGGUGGUCACAUGACUCCGAAACUAGCUCGGGUCAUUCGUCACCACUCGUCUCGGCUUGUCCCGUAAUAACACGAGUUGGUCACGAAUGUAGCUCGGGUAAGCUUCCUCUCCUGACUGCAUCCCACCACCACGUCACCAGGAACACAACUUAAACCCCUACCAGGCCUGGGAUGCCGAAAGAACAGGCAGCUGCGGUUGAUCCUCGUCCAGAGAAAGUCAAAACGUCCAGAGAAAGUCAAAACGCCCCGCAUCACGUAACAGCAUCCACAAGAGUCGGCGAGACAUCAGACCCUGAUCUGUCAGCCAUUGGUUACUUCUACAGCAACAUAGGUUGAUGGUCAAUACAAACUAUAAGACUGACGCUUAUUCCCUGAAAAUAAAUAAUUUUGAUAGAAACAAAUAACUCCUUUUAAUUGAAAGGAGCCCCAGUGAGAUAUGAGAUUCAGAACCCGAGGAAAAUCUAGACUUCUGAA